CGCCCAAUAGCUAGCUCACCCAUCAACCCCAAACCAACCCUAUUUAUAACCCCAAAUACACCACCCCCUCAACAACAAACCAUUUUUCCACCUAAGUACGGGCGACGAAAAAGGACCUAGAAGCAACAGAGAAAGUACCGCAAGGGAAAGCUGAAAGAGAAAUGAAACAACCCAGUAAAGCACAAAAAAGCAGAGACCGCCCCUCGUACCUUUUGCAUCAUGAUUUAGCCAGAAAACCUCAAGCAAAAAGCACUAUAGUUUGAUACCCCGAAACUAAGCGAGCUACUCCAAGGCAGUCUAAUUUAUAGGACCACCCCGUCUCUGUGGCAAAAGAGUGGGAAGAACUUUGAGUAGAGGUGACAAACCUACCGAGCCUAGUUAUAGCUGGUUGCCUGAGAACUGAAUAGAAGUUCAGCCCUUUAAAUUCUUCAUCCCCAUUAGCCCAAAACCUUCACACCGAACAAAAGAAAUUAAAGGAGUUAGUCAAAGGGGGUACAGCCCCUUUGAAACAAGAUACAACUUUCCAAGGAGGGUAAAAAUCACAACAAACUUAAAGGUUAAACAUUCUAGUGGGCCUAAAAGCAGCCACCUAUUCAGAAAGCGUUAAAGCUCAAACAUUACAUAACCAGCCUUCUAAUAAAGACAACAUAAUUUCACCCCCCUGAACCUACCAGGCCGCUCCAUAGAAAUAUGGAGGCGUUUAUGCUAAUAUGAGUAAUAAGAGAACCCCUCUCUCCCCGCACAAGUGUAACUCGGAACGAACCACUCACCGACCAUUAACGGCCCCAAAACAAAGAGGUCCCUAGGCAAAAAACAAACAACUAGAAAACCACCUAGCCCCCCACCGUUAACCCCACACUGGUGUGCCAACCGGGAAAGACUAAAAGAAAAAGAAGGAACUCGGCAAACACAAGCCUCGCCUGUUUACCAAAAACAUCGCCUCUUGAACCCCUAAACAUAAGAGGUCCCGCCUGCCCUGUGACUAUAA
rnacentral:rRNA from 1 species